rnacentral:rRNA from 1 species
CGGCAGCUUAGCUUGCUAAGCUGGACGUCGACCGGCGCACGGGUGAGUAACGCGUAUCCAACCUGCCCCACGGUGAGGGAUAACCCGCGGAAACGCGGCCUAAUACCUCAUGGUCUCCGAGUUUGCCAUCAACCUUGGAGUAAAGAUUCAUUGCCGUGGGAUGGGGAUGCGUCUGAUUAGCUUGUUGGCGGGGCAACGGCCCACCAAGGCAACGAUCAGUAGGGGUUCUGAGAGGAAAGCCCCCCACAUUGGAACUGAGACACGGUCCAAACUCCUACGGGAGGCAGCAGUGAGGAAUAUUGGUCAAUGGGCGAGAGCCUGAACCAGCCAAGUAGCGUGCAGGACGACGGCCCUAUGGGUUGUAAACUGCUUUUAUGCGGGGAUAAAGCGGGCGACGUGUCGCCCUUUGCAGGUACCGCAUGAAUAAGGACCGGCUAAUUCCGUGCCAGCAGCCGCGGUAAUACGGAAGGUCCGGGCGUUAUCCGGAUUUAUUGGGUUUAAAGGGAGCGCAGGCCGGGUAUUAAGCGUGUUGUGAAAUGUAGGCGCCCAACGUCUGCACCGCAGCGCGAACUGGUGCCCUUGAGUACGCACGACGUUGGCGGAAUUCGCCGUGUAGCGGUGAAAUGCUUAGAUAUGGCGAAGAACUCCGAUUGCGAAGGCAGCUGACGGGAGCGCUACUGACGCUCAUGCUCGAAAGCGCGGGUAUCGAACAGGAUUAGAUACCCUGGUAGUCCGCGCGGUAAACGAUGGAUGCCCGCUAUUUGCGCAUUAGCGCAAGUGGCCAAGUGAAAACGUUAAGCAUCCCACCUGGGGAGUACGCCGGCAACGGUGCAACUCAAAGGAAUUGACGG